UCACAAUGAUGAAUGGUCCAAAACAUUCGCGGUUUCCACCAGAAUGACUUGUGUUGGCUUCCUUCCUUGGAUGUCUGAGUGA
ensembl:snoRNA SNORD14 Small nucleolar RNA SNORD14